GCAGGUUUUUGCCGGCCCCUAAAUUUUAUCCUCUGCUUAUCAUGGUUAUUACUUGUCCUUCCUCUGCAGAAUUGAGCGCAUGUUUUUUUAUUAUAGUAUAGCCUUUGAGUUCCUGCUUGCAUAUUACUUGAAACAUAGUUAAAUUGUGUAUAUUUAGCAGCUUUUCUUCUUACAGGCAAUUGUGCUUAACUCUGGUUACAUUUCUGUAUGGCCGCAAAAUUCAAGCAAUUGUAUAUAUACAUACUUUGGUCACAAUAUGAUCAUCGAAUACAAUAUGACACUUCCUGCUAAAUUUCUUCAGCUGUAAAUCUGAGAAUGUACUUCUCUUUAUGUAAUUAAGUUUGGAUUACUAGAUCUUAUGCAAAUGCCAUUUUUUGUUCCUUAAUCAGUCCGCCUGUGGAGCUCCACAGAUAGAGUUGGAUGUGUUCGAUGAUGGAGCUACCUGCGUUGGCUGUGUUGUCGGGUAGGCUGACUAUUUUUGUUAGUUCUGAAAUGCACAGAUGCUAAUAUAUAAGUAUAUAUCGCUACUGCUGGGAGCUGCUGUUUAUUUAUAGACAACUCCUGAAUUUACUAUGUCAAUAUUUUUUGACCUAUUUUUGUUCUUGUUACUCAUUAAAAAAAUUAGUUUUCUUGCUCAAAAUCAUCUUACAAUGUUUCAUGUUACCACAGAUCAUGGCAAGGAAUAAAUUUUACAACCAAAAUCAUAUUCUACCAACAUAUUUGGUGCAUAUUAUCAUUUAGCAGUACGCUGGCUGUGCCUUCCUAUGAUAAAUGGAGAUCUUAGAUGUACUAUUGUUCCGUCAGGCAUUGAACCUAUCAAUGACUGACCAUGAAAGAUAUGUGUAGCUCUAAUUUUCUCCAUAUGUUUCUGUUUUCAAGGAUAAUUCUUAAUCCUUUUGGAAUUACCAUCUGUAAACAUGUUUGGAAUUAUCAUCUAUGUAGAUCUGUGCAGAUUCAAAUCUCUUCAUAUUUAUAUCAAAGAGUUUGUUUUUCGAAUGGUCGUCAUGUAUACUAAACUCCCUGCCCCCCUCUCCUGUCACAUGUGUUGUUCACUUGCCAUCAGUGAGCUCCAUAAAACACGACUACAGGGUGCAGAAUGCUUGCCACUUAGUUAACGUUGUAGACAUGUAACACUAUAAUGUUGGACAAUAAAUGAAUUCGACUACAUCCAAACGAACUUAUCUUGCUUCCAAGAAGAGUAAAAUCAUCUUCAAUAACUUCCUGUACUUUGCUUAUAUUCAUGUUUCUCAACAUGUUUGGAAUGUAGUUUCCCCCCAAAAUGCAGUAUUUACCUUCCAUUUGAAGCAUAGGGUGCAAUUUUUAUCAGUUGCUGUCUGAAACCCCACUUCCCUGGUAAAAACGCUAUCCACCUUCAAAUAUACUCCCUCCGUAAAAAUAUAUAAGCUUUACGGAGGGAGUAUACAAGUUCUCUGAUACGGUAGUCGUGGGAAGACUAUAUUUUUGGUUUACAUUGUAAAUGAUUUGAGUGACCACAAAUGUGACUUUCUUUUUUGUUUCUUUUCAGUUUUCAGUGAGGGCAGGCCUGGCGCAGUGGUGAAGUCCUCCCCACUUGUGCCAAGAGGUCCUGGGUUCGAACCAGCCUCUCUGCAUUGCACUUUGCAGGGGUAAGACUAGGUUCCUAUAAUCCCUCCCCAGACCCCACCUUGUGUGGGAGCUUCUAUGCACUGGGUCUGUCCUUUUUUUCAGUUUUCAGCUCCUAGAUGAGAAGGCAAGGAUGUACUUGAGCAAUAUGAGAAGACCCAGUUCCAUUAUCUCAGAAGCCAGAAGUCUCCCAUUUACUGACUUUGGUACUAUUUUUUUAAAGAAUGGUCAAUCCGCUAUCAGCACCACGAUUAUGUGUCAAUUGUAGAUUCUUAAUUGCUUAGAAUUAUUUUAUUUGUUUGAUUCCUUCUGUUGAUAUUUAUUCAACAACAAAAUAUUUUCAAGAUUGGUCGGUGUGAGGAUCAAACAUGUGAAUGGAUGUGGCAUCAAGCUAAGUCUGUUGAUACCUUGCUCACCUUUUUUUGCUUUGAGUGGGUUAUGACUUACUUUCUGAUUGUUGUUUGUGAGAAAAUACCACCUCUGUUUGUCUCUCUGAAUUAUCAUUGGUCAUUGCGACAAGGGUGAUUCAGAGUUGUAGGUUGUAUGACUGGUCUAAUAUGGCAGGUCCCACAAAGAAAACAUACAAGUUGUAGGGAGUUGUUUAGUUCAGAUGUGCACGGGAAUGGGCUCACUGGGAUCUUGGUAGGAGGUGAAUCUUGUGGUCAUGAGCCUGGACAUCACGCUGGUGCGCUUCCUAGGGAGGUGCGUCCGUGCGCUGUGCUUGGAUGGCGAAUCGAGAUGAGGCUUAGUGGCUGCUCGCCUCUCUGAAUCACGGAUACGAAAUUUGGUGGUUGUUCACCUAAUGGAGAUCGAAAAUGGCGUCGAGUUAUUUUAUGGGCUAAUUGUUGUGAGUGCCAACGAUUUCGUUUUGACCAUAUAGGACCAGCCUAUGUCAUUGCCGGUAGCAACGAUAUAACAACCUAAAUGUCGCUGAUACCAAAUACUCAUCUGUUCCUAAAUAUACGUCUUUUUAGACAUUUCAAAUAAAUUACAACAUAUCAGAUGUA